UCCAGCUAUAAAAUAUAAAAACUCAGCAGCCUCUGGUCAACCUGCUUGUAUACCUGGGAACAGAAGUAGCAGUAACUGAUACACAACUCAUUGAAUUGCCCUGUCACUCUUUAAUUCAAUCUAUACACUUGCUUCAAUGUACUUCUUAGUGUUUAACAGGCCUCCCUAAAUCUGUGUGUGGCAGGUGGGGGAUGAGGAGGGGAAUUUCUUUCUCCCUGAAGAUAGGUCCUUAAUCCUCUGUCAGCUCCUGAUAAAUGAAAGGCCAUUGCCCAGCAAGAUGUGAUAAAGCAGGGUGUUAAGUGAGGUGGCCCUGUUUUCAGCAGUUCAUAUAAACCCUGUUGGCUUUUGGAGAUGCUGAUUGCUUCUAGGCUGAGUGCUUUUGUGCAGUGCUUUCCCCAAACUGGCAUCUGUUUUAUCUCUGGGGUAUCUCCCUUGCAUGGCUUCAGUGCCUCAAUUUGAAACUGAUUGGAAUAGUUUUGUCUGAAAUAAAGUUCCCAUUAUCACACUCUCUCCUCAUCCCUGGUGGGAGGCAGCAGGAUGCUGAGGUGAAAAAUGUUUGGCCAGGAUGCUAUCAGCCUCCUCCCUCUCUUGUUGCAGGCUCUAGUUUCUGGCAGCCUCUGACCAGGGCUUUGGAACGUCCUGAGACAGUGGAAAGAAGAAAGUCCCCCAGCUGGAAUUCUGGCCUGCUACUUGCUAUAAGUUGACAGGACAGAGGUGAUUCGCACCUGUAUCAACCCAGUGUAUUCGAAGCUGUUCACUGUGGACUUUUACUUUGAGGAGGUGCAGCGCCUGCGGUUUGAGGUCCACGACAUCAGCAGCAACCACAAUGGCCUGAAGGAGGCUGACUUCCUGGGCGGCAUGGAGUGCACACUGGGUCAGGUGGGUGCAUGAUGCCCUUUCUCUCCUCUUGCCUUCUGAGGGCCUCUCUCCCUCCCCUUUCCCUCUCUCCUCUCAUUCAAUCCUUGCUUUCUUUCUCCUAUUGAUUUUAUUUCCUUGAACAUGUAGCAUUUAAUGAUUGUCCAUGCACUGUUGUGACAGUACAUUUAACAUUACAUUUACAUCUAGAUGAUGCUGUACAUAUGUAAAGUGUUACCUGUUUUGCCAAGUGAAUCCUAUUACUUCUGAAUUCCUUCAUUCUCUUGGUUAUUUAUUAAACAACUCUUUGUGGAGCACCUGUUCUGCCCUGGCUGUCUAUCUGCUCUAGCCUCAUACUGAUACAUCAUACAUUUCCAUCUCCCAACUCAGAUAUGGUAACCCCACACACAAGAAGGAUUGCUCUUUCAAGUUUACCCCAAGCCUCUGGUGCCAAAGUUAGCCAAAGACAGGGUAUAUAGCUAUUUGGUGAAUGUGUGAAUGCUUUGCUUAAGCCUCACAAUGAUGGGAAAUACACACCAUUGUUAUAUCCAUUUGUCAGUGAGAAACCCAGACUUAGAGAGGUUGAGAACUUGCCCAAGGCCCCACAAUAAUGAGGAGCAGUUAGAACCCAAAUCAGGUUAGCCUGACUCCAAACCCCAUCAUCUUGGUUUCAUAUACCUUUCAUUUUUCCCUCCCCUCCCCAGAACUUGAGUGCUGAGAGGAGACAUAAGUGAAGAAAUAGUCCCUGUGCCCAAGACUAAUUGGAGAAAGCACAGCAUAUGCCCCCCAAAUACAGCCAUUCAUGAUGCUCUUUUUUUUUUUACAGAAUAAAAUACAUACAUUUACAUACA
rnacentral:lncRNA from 1 species